rnacentral:rRNA from 1 species
GAUGAACGCUGGCGGCGUGCCUAAUACAUGCAAGUCGAGCGAACAGACGAGGAGCUUGCUCCUCUGACGUUAGCGGCGGACGGGUGAGUAACACGUGGAUAACCUACCUAUAAGACUGGGAUAACUUCGGGAAACCGGAGCUAAUUCCGGAUAAUAUAUUGAACCGCAUGGUUCAUUAGUGAAAGACGGUUUUGCUGUUACUUAUAGAUGGUUCCGCGCCGCAUUAGCUAGUUGGUAAGGUAACGGCUUACCAAGGCAACGAUGCGUAGCCGACCUGAGAGGGUGGUCGGCCACACUGGAACUGAGACACGGUCCAGACUCCUACGGGAGGCAGCAGUAGGGAAUCUUCCGCAAUGGGCGAAAGCUUGACGGAGCAACGCCGCGUGAGUGAUGAAGGUCUUCGGAUCGUAAAACUCUGUUAUUAGGGAAGAACAAAUGUGUAAGUAACUAUGCACGUCUUGACGGUACCUAAUCAGAAAGCCACGGCUAACUACGUG